rnacentral:rRNA from 1 species
GAUGAACGCUGGCGGCGUGCCUAAUACAUGCAAGUCGAGCGAACGGACGAGAAGCUUGCUUUUCUGAUGUUAGCGGCGGACGGGUGAGUAACACGUGGAUAACCUACCUAUAAGACUGGGAUAACUUCGGGAAACCGGAGCUAAUACCGGAUAAUAUUUUGAACCGCAUGGUUCAAAAGUGAAAGACGGUCUUGCUGUCACUUAUAGAUGGAUCCGCGCUGCAUUAGCUAGUUGGUAAGGUAACGGCUUACCAAGGCAACGAUGCAUAGCCGACCUGAGGGGGUGAUCGGCCACACUGGAACUGAGACGCGGUCCAGACUCCUACGGGAGGCAGCAGUAGGGAAUCUUCCGCAAUGGGCGAAAGCCUGACGGAGCAACGCCGCGUGAGUGAUGAAGGUCUUCGGAUCGUAAAACUCUGUUAUUAGGGAAGAACAUAUGUGUAAGUAACUGUGCACAUCUUGACGGUACCUAAUCAGAAAGCCACGGCUAACUACGUG